rnacentral:rRNA from 1 species
UACGUAGGUGGCAAGCGUUGUCCGGAUUUACUGGGCGUAAAGAGCGCGCAGGCGGUCGAAUAAGUCGAAUGUGAAAGCCCCCGGCUUAACUGGGGGAGGGUCAUUCGAUACUGCUCGACUUGAAGGCAGGAGAGGGUAGUGGAAUUCCCGGUGUAGUGGUGAAAUGCGUAGAUAUCAGGAGGAAUACCGGUGGCGAAAGCGACUCUCUGGACGGUAACUGACGCUGAGGCACGAAAGCGUGGGGAGCAAACAGG